GAUAUUCUCUUUAUAAAUAGAGCUAUGAAGAGAUUUAAAGGAUGUUAGGCUGCUUUGAAGGUGUAAGACCCCUUCCUUUCCUACCCAUCCUCCUCACUCCCUAGCUGGUCCCAGUGGCUCUCUCUCUCGGCAGAUUUGGUCUGUGUGUCCAUGUACUGGAGAGUCAGUGGGCGCUCAUUUCUCAGAGUUAUGAUGUCCUUGGCCUGGCCUGCUUUUACUCUGCUUGCUUAGAUCUGCUGCUCUAUGGAAAAGGAUUGCUGUGUCGGCCCUUUAGUGAGUGUCUGCGUUUCGUUCAAGUCUACGAGCACAGCCGUGUUCUAACCUCUCAGAGCAAUGUCAUGCUGGGGGUCCACUCCUCCCUGGCCAUGUGGUUUGCCCAGGAAUCACAGUGGGACCUGUUUAAGCACUAUUUCUCCAACGCUUGCAGUUGGUGAAAAGAACCAAUGCCUCGCUAUUUGGUGCACAUGGCUUUGUCCGAUUCCUAGAAUGCCAUGUGUUAAUGUUACAGAAAAUGCCAGAGGGUAUCUUCAUGCAUAUUCCUCUAGAGCUUCACAGCCAAACCCUUGAGGCUUAUUUUGCCAUCAGUAACUCCUUCCUGUUCCCCCAGCCAUGAGUGAAUAUGCUGAAUGAGGACCUUUGUAAGUUCUGAUGAAGUAGCAUGUU
rnacentral:lncRNA from 1 species